rnacentral:rRNA from 1 species
GGAUUAGGCAUGCAAGUCGAAUGGGUUCAGACCCAUGGCAGACGAGGUAGGAACACGUAGGUACGUACCCUAAAGUCAGGGAUAACCCGAUGAAAAUCGGAAUAAUACUUGAUGGUCCCUUCGGGGUAAAGUUUUAACGCUUUAGGAACGGCCUGCGGUCUAUCAGCUUGUUGGUAAGGUAACGGCUUACCAAGGCGACGACGGAUAGGGGAGGUGAGAGCCUGGCCCCCACCGAUGGAACUGCGACACGGUCCAUACUCCUACGGGAGGCUGCAGUCGAGAAUCUUCCGCAAUGGACGAAAGUCUGACGGAGCGACGCCGCGUGGUGGAUGAAGUCCUUAGGGACGUAAACACCUUUUAUGAGGGAGAAAGUAUAUUGAUGUUACCUCAUGAAUAAGGGGCUCCCAACUCUGUGCCAGCAACCGCGGUAAUA